UACCAUCAGCGGAAUGUCUUCCGGGCGC
rnacentral:sRNA from 1 species